ACUCCAUAAAUACAUACACGUACUAUGUACCCACGAAAUUUAAAAACUAAAAUUUUUUUAAAAAAAGAGUUGAUGUUUAUUCCACUGCAGGGUUCCAAGAACAGAGGAGCCUGCCCUGCUUCCUGGCAUGGAGGCCAAGACACAGCAUGUGGUGGAAGCAGCGCUCCUGUGAUAACAGAGUUAAUCCACUCACCAGGGUGGGCCCUCAAGACCCAAAGCCUCACCGCUCCACACCGCCACAACGGCAACCAAGUUUCCAACACACGAACCUUCAGGGACCACAUUUAAACCCAAGCAGAGGUUGAUGUGAUUGAUAGGAAGGUGCCCAUAGACAAUCUUAGGAUGCAAGAUGACUUGAAUGAAAAGGUUACAGAAAUGUGUGAAGAUAACUGGGGAAAGGUUAUGAAUUAAUGGCUUCUUAUAUCUUCAGACCUCACCACUUAGAGGGCAAUAAACAAUGCCCCUCAUGUGGAAAGAGGAUUGCAUCAGGUACUUGAGGACAAUGAUAGCUGCCUAAAUCUACCACACCACAAUGCAGAAGACUGCACAAGGGAAGAACCUUGAGAACCACAUAAAACUCAGGCUCUGCUGCAAGCCUUUCUUGCAGGCAAAGGCAGUCUAAUAAACAUUUUUUAAAAAUCUUGCAUAGAAGAGAGAAGAAGGGAGUGAGCAGCAGAUCUAAAAUCUUUCUGAAACCACCACUAGGAUGAUAAAGUUAUCCUAACUGUGAAAAUACGGAAAAAAAGUGCAUUACUGCAUCACAGUGCUGAUUACAGGGAAGAGACUUAUAAUACAUGUGCUUUGAAGUGGCAGUCUUCAAAAGGUACAGCUUCUGAGAGAAAAAGAUGAAAAACUAAGAGGGAGGCACUGCAGUGACUGGGUGGUAAAAAAUAAAAGAAGUGGAAGGAAAAGUUACAGUCUUACAAGGCAAAGGGUAACAUGAAAGUCAGAGGGUACAUAACCACUUCCUGCAUCAACAGAAAUCUCAUCCCUGAAAAAAUGUAGACUGUUGCUAUACAGACAGAGGAGGAUGACAAGCCAUUAAACUAGAAAUCUUGUAAACCACCACUCAUAUGCAAAACGAAUAGUAUUGAGAGGUGAAGCUAGCAGGGCUUCUUGGUCGAGUGUGGACUUGGAGAACUUUUCUGUCUAGCUAGAGGAUUGUAAACGCACCAAUCAGCACUCUGCAUCUAACUAAAGGAUUGUAAAUGCACCAAUCAGCACUCUGUAAAAUGGACCAAUCAGCACUCUGUAAAGUGGAAGAAUCAGUGCUCUGUAAAAUGCACCAAUCAGCAGGAUGUGGGUGGGGCCAAAUAAGGUUAUAAAAGCUGGCCACCGGAGCCUGCAGGAACAACCCAAUUGGGUCCUUUUCCAUCCUGUGGAAGCUUUCUUCUUUCACUCUUCACAAUAAAUCUUGCUGAUGCUCACUCUUUAUGAGCUGUAACACUCACCAGAGGGUCUGUGGCUUCAUUCCUGAAGUCAGUGAGACCACGAACCCACCAACCCACGGGGAGGAACAAACAACUCCAGAUGCACUGCCUUUAAGGGCUGUAACACUCACUGCAAAGGUCUGCGGCUUCACUCCUGAAGUAAAUGAAACCACGAACCCACUGGAAGGAAGAAACUCGGGACACAUCUGAACGUCUGAAGGAACAAACUCCGGGCACACCAUCUUUAAGAACUGUAACAGCUCACCACGAGGGUCCACGGCUUCGUUCUUGAAGUCAGCGAGACCAAGAACCCACCAGAAGGAACCAAUUCUGGACACAGGGUGAAAUGGAAUAAGUCUAUGCAAAGUUACCACAAAGACACAAAAAGUGAGAAUUAACACAUUUCAGCUGGAUGAAACUUCUCACCAGAAACAACCAUGAAGAAAAAUAAACAUGUAAGAAAUGAUUCAAAAUGAGUUAAAUAUACUAAAAUCUCAAAUCUGAAGAGCCACUUUGAAUUAGAAAUCUGAAAACUGAAAGCAAAAAUAGAAAAAGCAGAAAAAAAUGAACAGAGUUGAUUGAACUUAGCAAAGAAAUGAUAAAAAGAAGACAAAAUCAUCUCAGAGUGAAGAAGACCGAAAUGGAAGAUAAUAAAGUGAAUUGACGGAACGCAAGAAAAUAAUCUGCAAAUGAAUAUAAGUUAACAAACAUCACAAAGCACCAGCUCCUUUAAUUGAGAAAAGAAGAAAGCACGAUGUACAAAAUAAUGACAAGGGGGACUAACCACUGAAACGGUAUGCAUCUGAGGAGAUGGCGAAGACAUUUUUAACAUCUUUAUCAGGAUCUACUGGGAGCAAGGACAUUACCAACCACAGGAGAUAACUAUAAAGCAUUCCAAAAGUAGCUCCUGUCAUGCCCUGUCCUGGGUUCUGCUAGAGGCACAGUGUUUGACCAUGGAGCAUCAAGUGACCAAGUGACCAGUGCCCCGUCAUGAGCUGCAUCGGGUCACACCCACAAAGACAUAGUUUCAUGCUGUACCUGUUAAGAGGUCCUGGCUUCCAGAAGGAAAUUACUUCCACCAGUGGACAUGGUGGAGGAGAGUGGAGGGGAGUAAGAUUAGAAGCAAGGAUACCAGUAGGAUGCAGUUACAGCAAUCCAGGUGGCUGUGCUACAAUUGUAAUAACAUCAGAUCUGUGCUGGUCUAGGCUGACCAUGGUCUGAGCCACCAGCCAAAAGCCACCAGGAUUGUAUCUGAAUUGAAUGAGUUGGAAUUGACCUUUUGUUAAAUGAGCUGAAUCUCCCGAAAAGAAGAAGCCCAUGAUGGAGAACUGUGGAGUACCAGCAUCUCUGUUGGAGAGUGUUAGAAAGGACUUACUACAGGAGCCUGGGCCUCGUGUGAGGUGAGCCGGGGGAUGGUCCCAGGAAGUGGAGCUUUGCUGUGGACUGGUUAUUAUCAGGAAGCAGGGCUAAUUCUCUAGUUGGGUAGCUCCAUAGAUCACACUGAGAAGACAGGAAGACUAGACUGAGGCCAAUCAUUCUAACUGAUGAAGUGACAGGAACUCCCAUCAGCUAGGAUGGUGGUAUGUUUGCUCACAAUGAUGCUCUGUGUCCAGACAUAAUUACAGAGGGUCUUGUUUUUGCCUUGAUCCAUCACGAUCACAGAGCAGCCUUGUCUAGUGUUGAUGUUGUGUACAUUGUUGAUUUCAGCAGCAGGAUACAAGGCUGUCUUCUGGAGGUCAGGAGCUGCUUUUCUGUUUCUCACCAUUGAACUUACAUUAUCCAAAUUGGGACACUUCAAGAGUGAAUGGGGGUGCCAUUGAUAGUGGCAGAGGCAGACAAAUGCCUAGGCAGAUGGGGCAGGUGCCCAGUGAAACUCCACCUCCAAGCCGAAGACAGCUUAAAGCCUGAAAGCCAAGCUACAAGUCAAAUCCAUGGACUGGACUGAGAACCUGUCCUACCAUGUGGCGUGCUUUCCUCUGAUUGAUCCUCACCCUUCACCUAUUUUACAUAUACCUACCCUUUCUUAAUGGGUUUUCUACACUGCUGUGCCCACCUUUGAGUGGUGCCUUUGCUUCAGCCUUUCUUUGCAUACGCACAAACCAAUCAUCAUGCACUCUCCUAUUCUGAGCCUAUAAAAUCUCAGCCACACCAGGAGAGUAAACAACGGACUGUGGUGGUGGGGGACCACCCCACGUCCCCUCUCUGCUGAGAGCUGUUCCAUCGCUGAAUAAAAUUCUUCUCUGCCCUCCUCACCCUUCAAUUGUCAGCAUAUCCUCAUUCUUCUUGGACGUGGAAUAAGAGCUUGGAAACCACUGAAUGUGGGUACAAGAUACAACACAGGUGGACUGGGGCUCCACACCUGGCCCAGCUGUGGGCUGAGCUGGUGCACAA
rnacentral:lncRNA from 1 species